GACGCACGCUGGCGGCGUGCUUAACACAUGCAAGUCGAACGGAGUGGCGAACGGGUGAGUAACACGUGGGUGACCUGCCCUGCACUUCGGGAUAAGCCUGGGAAACUGGGUCUACUACCGGAUAGUGGGGGACGGGCCCGCGGACUAUCCGCUUGUUGGUGGGGUAAUGGCAUACCAAGGCGGCGACGGGUAGCCGGCCCGAGAGGGUGGACGGCCACAUUGGGCAUGAGAGACGGCCCAGACGCCUACGGGAGGCAGCAGUGGGGAAUAGUGCACAAUGGGCGGAAGCCUGAUGCAGCGACGCCGCGUGGGGGAUGACGGCCUGCGGGUUGUAAACUCCUUUCACCAUCGACGCGGUAGAUGGAGAAGAAGCACCGGCUAACUACGUGACAGCAGCCGCGGUAAUUC
rnacentral:rRNA from 1 species